rnacentral:rRNA from 1 species
CAGUCGCCGCGGGAACACAGAGGGUGCAAGCGUUAAUCGGAAUUACUGGGCGUAAAGCGCGCGUAGGUGGUUUGUUAAGUUGGAUGUGAAAUCCCCGGGCUCAACCUGGGAACUGCAUCCAAAACUGGCAAGCUAGAGUAUGGUAGAGGGUGGUGGAAUUUCCUGUGUAGCGGUGAAAUGCGUAGAUAUAGGAAGGAACACCAGUGGCGAAGGCGACCACCUGGACUGAUACUGACACUGAGGUGCGAAAGCGUGGGGAGCAAACAGGAUUAGAUACCCCCGUAGUCCCUGUCUCUUAUAC